UAGCUCAAUCGGUAGAGCGUGAGACUCUUAAUCUCAAGGUUGCGGGUUCGACCCCCG
rnacentral:tRNA from 1 species